UGGGGAAUAUUGCACAAUGGGCGCAAGCCUGAUGCAGCCAUGCCGCGUGUAUGAAGAAGGCCUUCGGGUUGUAAAGUACUUUCAGCGAGGAGGAAGGCGAUGCGGUUAAUAACCGUGUCGAUUGACGUUACUCGCAGAAGAAGCACCGGCUAACUCCGUGCCAGCAGCCGCGGUAAUACGGAGGGUGCAAGCGUUAAUCGGAAUUACUGGGCGUAAAGCGCACGCAGGCGGUCUGUCAAGUCGGAUGUGAAAUCCCCGGGCUCAACCUGGGAACUGCAUUCGAAACUGGCAGGCUUGAGUCUUGUAGAGGGGGGUAGAAUUCCAGGUGUAGCGGUGAAAUGCGUAGAGAUCUGGAGGAAUACCGGUGGCGAAGGC
rnacentral:rRNA from 1 species